rnacentral:rRNA from 1 species
AACGAACGCUGGCGGCAGGCUUAACACAUGCAAGUCGAGCGCCCCGCAAGGGGAGCGGCAGACGGGUGAGUAACGCGUGGGAAUCUACCCAUCUCUACGGAAUAACGCAUGGAAACGUGUGCUAAUACCGUAUACGUCCUUCGGGAGAAAGAUUUAUCGGAGAUGGAUGAGCCCGCGCUGGAUUAGCUAGUUGGUGGGGUAAAGGCCUACCAAGGCGACGAUCCAUAGCUGGUCUGAGAGGAUGAUCAGUCACACUGGGACUGAGCCACGGCCCAGACUCCUACGGGAGGCAGCAGUGGGGAAUAUUGGACAAUGGGCGCAAGCCUGAUCCAGCCAUGCCGCGUGAGUGAUGAAGGCCCUAGGGUUGUAAAGCUCUUUCACCGGUGAAGAUAAUGGCGGUAACCGGAGAAGAAGCCCCGGCUAACUUCGUGCCAGCAGCCGCGGUAAUAC